UACGUAGGGGGCAAGCGUUGUCCGGAAUCAUUGGGCGUAAAGAGCGCGUAGGCGGCCCGGUAAGUCCGCUGUGAAAGUCCAGGGCUCAACCCUGGGAUGCCGGUGGAUACUGUCGGGCUCGAGUCCGGAAGAGGAGUGUGGAAUUCCUGGUGUAGCGGUGAAAUGCGCAGAUAUCAGGAAGAACACCAGUGGCUAAGGCGGCUCUCUAGUACGGUACUGACGCUGAGACGCGAAAGCGUGGGGAGCGAACAGG
rnacentral:rRNA from 1 species